UACGGGGGGGGCAAGCGUUGUUCGGAAUUACUGGGCGUAAAGGGCUCGUAGGCGGCCAACUAAGUCGGACGUGAAAUCCCUCGGCUUAACCGGGGAACUGCUUCCGAUACUGGAUGGCUUGAGUGUGGGAGAGGGAUGCGGAAUUCCAGGUGUAGCGGUGAAAUGCGUAGAUAUCGGAAGGAACCCCAGUGGCGAAAGCGGCUUCCUGGUCCAGCACCGACGUUCAGGCACGAAAGCGUGGGGAGCAAACAGG
rnacentral:rRNA from 1 species